AGAGUUUGAUCCUGGCUCAGGAUGAACGCUAGCGGCAAGCCUAACACAUGCAAGUCGAACGGUAAGGCUCAGCUUGCUGAGUACACGAGUGGCGCACGGGUGAGUAACGCGUAUACAACUUGCCUUUAACUGGGGAAUAGCUCAGAGAAAUCUGAAUUAAUACCCCAUAACAUCUGAAUUUGGCAUCAUUUUCAGUUCAAAGCUCCGGCGGUUAAAGAUGGGUAUGCGUGACAUUAGCUUGUUGGUAAGGUAACGGCUUACCAAGGCAACGAUGUCUAGGGGGUCUGAGAGGAUGGUCCCCCACACUGGUACUGAGACACGGACCAGACUCCUACGGGAGGCAGCAGUGAGGAAUAUUGGUCAAUGGGCGAAAGCCUGAACCAGCCAUGCCGCGCGCAGGAUGAAUGCCCUACGGGUUGUAAACUGCUUUUAUACAGGAAGAACUCCUUCGAUUCUUCGAGGGCUGACGGUACUGUAUGAAUAAGGAUCGGCUAACUCCGUGCCAGCAGCCGCGGUAAUACGGAGGAUCCAAGCGUUAUCCGGAUUUAUUGGGUUUAAAGGGUGCGUAGGCGGGAUAGUAAGUCAGUGGUGAAAUCUUUCGGCUUAACCGGAAAAUUGCCAUUGAUACUGUUAUUCUUGAGUUCAGUUGAGGUGGGCGGAAUGUGUCAUGUAGCGGUGAAAUGCUUAGAUAUGACACAGAACGCCAAUUGCGUAGGCAGCUCACUAAACUGUUACUGACGCUGAGGCACGAAAGCGUGGGGAGCGAACAGGAUUAGAUACCCUGGUAGUCCACGCUGUAAACGAUGAUUACUAGAUGUAUGCGAUACAGUGUAUGCGUCUGAGUGAAAGCAUUAAGUAAUCCACCUGGGGAGUACGGUCGCAAGAUUGAAACUCAAAGGAAUUGACGGGGGCCCGCACAAGCGGAGGAACAUGUGGUUUAAUUCGAUGAUACGCGAGGAACCUUACCUGGGCUUAAAUGCAGUAUGAUUUUCCAAGAAAUUGGAUUUCCCUUCGGGGCAAAUUGCAAGGUGCUGCAUGGUUGUCGUCAGCUCGUGCCGUGAGGUGUCGGGUUAAGUCCCAUAACGAGCGCAACCCUUAUCGUUAGUUGCCAGCGGGUAAUGCCGGGGACUCUAAUGAAACUGCCAGUGUAAACUGUGAGGAAGGUGGGGAUGACGUCAAAUCAGCACGGCCCUUAUGUCCAGGGCUACACACGUGUUACAAUGGUCGAUACAAAGGGCAGCUACCUGGUGACAGGAUGCUAAUCUCUAAAAUCGAUCUUAGUUCGGAUCGAAGUCUGCAAUUCGACUUCGUGAAGCUGGAUUCGCUAGUAAUCGUAUAUCAGCAAUGAUACGGUGAAUACGUUCCCGGGCCUUGUACACACCGCCCGUCAAGCCAUGGAAGCUGGGGGUACCUAAAGUCCGUAACCGCAAGGAGCGGCCUAAGGUAAAACUAGUAACUGGGGCUAAGUCGUAACAAGGUA
rnacentral:rRNA from 1 species